GUCUUUUUUGAAAAGGAGGGAGUCAUUGCAUCUUCAAGAAUUAAAUUAUUUUUUGAUACAGAUACUGCUGUUGUUUAAAAUCAAGUUUUCAAUCUUUGAAAUUUCUCCUGGUAUAUACACCUUAAAUGUGUAAAUGAUUUUCCCUAAAACUAAAUUUUACAAUUAUGUACAUCCAAUCAUUAGAGAUAACUUUUAUUCUGUAUUUACAUUUACUUCAUAAAAACACAUUAGAUCAGAUUCCAAGACUUAGGUUACAUGUGGAAACUAUAAAAGCUGCAGGAGAUGUUAUCAGUUGAAGAUCGACUGUGAAAUACCUACCUUAAGGAAUUUCUUCUUAACAAGUUGGAUGAUUUUCUCUAUUUUUCUCAAGGAUCUCUUUUGGUUGGAGAGUUGAUGUUUUACAUUUCAGUAAUGGUAGAAUAUAAUGGACCUGGAGUUAUUACUAUAAUUCAUUCUCUUAAAUGAAAUGUAUUGUUUCAUUGUAGCUUGGAUGUAAAUUUCUGGGCUUGCCACUUUUUUCCUCUCUCUCUAGGGAUGUUAAGAAAUAUAAAAUAAAUGAUAUAAUUCAAAUUCUUGAGGAUGAAAAUAUAUGGAUAAUGUGUAGAUUUUUGGUUAGAAUGCCUAUGUCAUUGUUAAGGUGGUGGGUUGGCUGUGUUGGGAAAGGUUCACACCUGCACCUUUUUAAGUCUUCAGGUGAAAAUGUUUUAAGAAUUUGGAAGUGCUUAUAAAGGCAAAUAGGGAAAUGUUUCAGGGUUUUAAAGAGAAAGUGCCUUUGAGUAAAGGCAAGAAUUGGCCUAUCUAUGACGCAGCAAAACUAUUCUAUUGAUUGAGUGCUAGUUAAGUUACCUUAGAUUCCAACUUAUUUAUGGACUGUUAUGCCAGACGAAAAUUUAUCUAGGAGCAAUGACUGUGAGUUUACCCUAGGCAAUUGGAAUAGUGUAAUGAGGUUUUAGUUAAUAUUAAAUUGUGCAUGAAAUAAUUACCAUCAUCAUCAUCACCUUAUCAUAGCAUUCGAUCUUUUUCUUUACAGUUUAUAAAGUGAUUCCCAGCUUUGAAAAUAAUUUAAAGAAGUCUUCUCACAUCCUUGACUGCUUAGAUGGAACUGGAGGUUCAGGGAUCUUUAACUGCCUUGUCCACAGCCAUGGGGCUGCGUAGUGACAAAAAGUAGGGAUUAAACUCAGGACCACUCAUAGUAAGUUUCAAGCUCAUCUCCCUGUUUAAUCAUAAUGCUGGCAAAGGACAUCCAGCCGAGAAGCUAUGGGAAGUAAGCCAGAGGCUCCAACUGUGCAUUGGAGGAAUGGAUAAGGAGGGACAGAUCAUCCCAAUGAUCAGAGGAAAGUCCUGAAGCUUUUGGCUUUCUAGCCAUCUUUCCAACAUAGACUAAUUGGUAAUUGUAGCUAGAGGUGAAGGGAAUGGAGAGAAGUAUUAGCCAAGAGAGAAAGAUAGACUGGUUGUUUUUAUUGUUGAAGAGAUCCAGAGGCAAAUUUUAUAGUUACAUUUUCAUCACUGCUUCUGUAAACUUAAUUACUUUCAUGGGAACUGUCUUUUUUUCACUUUAUUUUCCCAAAUAUUGUUAAAAAUAAUAGUAAUUUAUGCUUCAGGUGUGUAAAAUUGUCCUCUACCUGUGGAAAGUUCUGUGGAAAGACUCUUGUUUCUAAAUGUUUGCUAAUUGAGUGCAAUUUAAUUAGCCUUUUAAAGAAUUUAACGGUGUGUUCAGUGGUUUGGUUAAUGACAUACUGGUAAGAGGUAUAAAUUUUUUAAAACCGCUCAGUUUGAGAGAUAACUUGUUGUAAGUAUAUGAAUUUACAGGUAAGAAUUAGACUUCCAUAUUCCACUCAGAGCCAUUCUUUCUGUGGUCACUUUAAGCGAUUUGCAUUGGCUCAACAGGUAAACUUUCACUUUCAUACUGGAUCUUUAGCACUAUAAAACUUUACUAUGUAUAAAUACAAUGAUCAUUUUAUAAAAAUUACAAUGCACUAAAACAUUUUCUUAUAUUAAAUCUUCACAUUUUAUUUCCUUUUAAUAUUGAAACUACUUAGGCCAAGGAAAAAUAAGUAAUAGUUUUAAGUGUUAAAGCCAUUUUGAUGAAGAAAGAUUGAAUUUUAAAAGUUUAAUUCAAAAAUAAACAGAAUAAAUGAAAAAUACUUAUCAUGUUGGGCUUUAUUAGUGUGGUUUAAAAUAAGUCAGAACUGGCUGUGUGAGGUGCCUGGGGUACUGUACCACUUUAUAUGUUCUUGUACAUUUUUAGUUUCAAAAUGGUGAAAAAUGUACAGAUUUUUUUAAAUGACAGCAACACACUAUUCAAGAUUUUCAAUAUAUUCUCUUUAUAAAGCAAAAUAUGUGUUUGAUAAAUAACUAAGUGGUUGAUAUUUUAAUAUCCAAUGGCAGUUGUCAUUGAUAUUUAGUGUAUAUAUACAUAUUUUUAAAACUAACUCAAUUACAAUUGAAUAAAUAUAACAUUUACUCUCAGAAAAUAACAGUGAUGUUUUAUUUUAUAGAAUUUGAGAUCCAGAUUUAUUAUUCUGUAAAAUAUAUUAAAAAUGUGCAAAAUCAGAAGUCUCAGUUAGUUUUUUUUUUCUUCUUUCCCUCAUAUUAAGCAGUUUCCUAGCAAUUAAAAUGGCUGCUGAGAAUAUAAAAGCUAUAUUCAGUCACAGUGGAACGGAGUACUGUGAUUACUUAACAGUGUCUGCAUGGGGGUAGUGAAUUGAAUUUGGUUCAGAAAUAUUCUUUCUUUCCACUUAGCUUCCAUAGGAGGAAUAUAUGUGCAUGCCUUGACUUUGGGAUUCACCGUGUAAGCUACUCUGACCAGCAGAGUGAGGCACAAGUGGCUUGUGUAUGCCUGAGACUAGACUUAAGAGACUUUGCAUGUUGCCACUUGCUCCGUUCUGCUCUUGCCCCCACCAUGAGAUGAACAUGUCCUACCUGGCCUGGUGUCUCCAAAGGAAAACAAAAGCCCAGAUCAGCUGAUGUCCAGAUAAUCAACAAAUGGAUGAAGAGCCCCAGCUGAGAGCAGCAGGGUUCCCCAGGCCAGUUCAGGUGACCUCCACCAGACAGUUUUCCCCUCAAUAUUCUUGAAACUUCUCUCAAGGGGAGCAUUUUUUUUUCUUCACGGUUUGUGUGGUACAUGCUCUCUGAACAAUAUUUGGCGGUGCAAUAUUUGGAGGGACUUCCACAUGCCUGAGUCUUGAGCUAGAAGAAAAGGAUUUAGGAACUUGACCUCUUGCAUCUGAAAGAUUGCCAAGAUCUUGCUUAAAGCAUACCGACCUACAUUAAUCCCUGCUGAAAGUAUCAUGCAAGAUUCCAUCUUCCUUUUAAAUUAAGCAUAUCUUACCAGUCAUCUCUUUCUGCCUUCAGCCUUGGCCUGAAUUAUAUCUCUGGCGCUCCUGGUUCUCCAGUUGGCAGAAGGCAGAUUGUGAGACUUGACCUCCAUAACCUCUAUUUUGUUUUAUUGUUUUUCCUGAGAAUUUCUACAAAUUUUCCAAUGAAAUUGUACCUGGACUCCUUGUGAAAUAAUUCUUGACAUGGGAUCAAGAGCAAGAAGAUUCAACUCAAAGAGAGAUAUCACAGGACUUACCUUGGCAGUGCAAUCACCAACACAGACAAGAGAAAAGAAAUCAGUGGAUUGGGGAGAGUUUGGAGUGGAGAGUCAAACGAGUGAUGAAGUCAAUUUUAGUUUGAAUUCAAAGAAACCGAACAAAAAUGAAUGGGAAAAAAAUUACAUCAUGUGCUCCAUGACCUCUUAAAAUGGGUUGCAUUGAAAAGGUUCCUCUCCCUUGGGCUCAUGUCCCGAGAAGCCUCUGAACCCAAUUAGCCUUGCUUUCCUUCACCUCUGCUUCUUCAGGACUUUUCAGAAUUUCUUAAGCAUUAAGGUGCAUAUUGGAUGUACUUGCUGACCCGUUUGUGGCUGUAGAGACCAUGUUACAAGUGCUGGCUGGAAUGAUGAUAAGAGAAGUCUCUGAAUGACUGAUGAACAGAAGCCCUCUGCCCCACUGAUACACCUGUCACAUAAACAUUAAAAACAAAGGCAGCUGGUGGAAGCCAUUGGACUGCAGAAUCUACUACUUGAAGCACAACACCACAGGAGGCUUUUUUUUUUCUCUCUGACAAUCGGGAUUAGUGCAAAAAGAGGUUUGAUAAGACUAAACAGUCCAAAGAUUUGACAGUCCUGACACCUGGCAUAUGAAAGAUGGAAUUCCUGAAUGGAAAUUAUUCUUAUUGAACUUCUCUGAAGAGUUUGGCUGGAAAGAAGUAUCUUUUCCAACGCCAGUACAUUCUCGGCGCUCCUUCAACUGGCUGAAAAAUGAGUGGCUCCUUUCAAGAGGCAGUAAGAUGAAUACGGUCAGCUCUACCCUUACACACUCUCGAUUCCUGAGGAAAAGAACAUGCUCUUCCUAUUGUCUAUGUCAAAUUUCUGGAUUCUGAUUAGCCUGAUUUGUCUUGCACCAAUCCUGUUCCCAGGGCAUGAAAUACUUGGAUUGUCCAAGCCAGGGUCACGUUCCCAACCUGGAGGCCAGGUUCCAGAUUACUGGGUUAUUAAAAAAGGAUAAAACACAAAAACCCAGUGAAGAAUUAUACAGGGCCAGGUCCCCAACAAAGGAGCUUCUGUCCACACGGAGUUUGGGGCCUGCCCAGUGGCACAUGGCAGCGUUCUGGUUCGGCAACCUGGAAACUCCCAAAUCCCAUACUACUGGGAUUUUUAUGGAGGCCUUCUCAGAUUCUUGCUGCUCAUUCACUGUGGACCCAGUCUCCUGAUGACAAUGAUGGUCCACGGAUGUAAACUCACCUGUCAGCAGUAUUUUCAUGACCAUUUUGGAAAAUUAGAGCACUGUCCAGAAUAAUAAAUGAAAUUCAGGGAAAUGGGAAAACCAAAACUUGACAUGAUCCAUCCAGAAUGUACUUCCUGCCUUUUGAACACCAAGUAAAUUUUCUUUGGAGACUCUUCUUAAGUGUCCAUCUCAAUUAAACCUUCAUGGCCCUCCUUCAAGACAGAGUUAGAGAUGCGUCCCUCUGUACUCUCAUUUGAGCACCGAGCCAAUUACAAAGCAGGAGCUGUUAUCUCGAUCCAAUACUCAUGUGCUAUGAAGAGUUCUCAUUGGCCUUUGCUUGUUAAGAACCAACUCAUUCUGAUAGGUGCCUAUGGAAACAGGGAGCUGUUGUUGCCUGUUGGGACCUCGUUUGAUAUGUUCAGCUGUGAACGCUCAACAUUUAACCUGCUGGAAGUCUCAAUAAAUGUAUAUUAACUGUUGACUGACUAUACUAAAUGAAUAAAUGAAGUUUGUUCGUGUAUCAACAGUGCUGUGUUUUCUUCCGUGUCACAGCCACCAGCAGUUUGGAGAACAGUGAAGGCUGAACUGUAUUAUACAUAUCAACAAACGUGGUUUGCCCCUGAUUAUACUUGUGACCUUGUACAGGGGACUUCGGUCUCUAGACCCUGCUUUUCUCCUCUGUAGAUUGAGGGAAUUAAACCAGGUAAUCUCUAGAGUCCCUUCCUACUAUUCCAUCCAGUGAUUAGUGUGUGAUGUAGCACGUGUUCUGAUAUUCGUUACAAUAUUCGGGGGCCGGCCGACUAACCACUCACUCCUCAAAGACUACACGAGCUGAGAGUUUAAUAGGAGAAAGUGGUCAUUCGCUCCCAUCCACCUUUGUACUACUGAUCCACGAUGAUGCUACCUAGCCAGGAUAAACCCACUGUGGGAUGACAAAAGUAAUAUGGACCACCAGGAAAGGAAAUCACCAUAUUCCAGACUCUGUGCUGGUACCCUUUACCAGACAUACACCAUCAGCAGCCAGUUCUGUGAAUCUCGCAGUUGGUGAACCCUGCUGGUGAGGUUCCCCGCCUCCUCUGCCUAUGCUUCCUUGGUAUCAAAAGUGCCUUCUGCUGCUUUACCUGUUGAACUUCUCUGAAGAAAAAAGUUCUUCCUCAUACCAUUAACACGUUUAUGGUUCCAGAGAAACGAAAUCUAAGCAUACAGCAAUGUAAGAAUCCAAAGUGGUAGAAGAUAAAUACCAGAGACAAAAUGGAUCCCAGGACCUCCUAUCCGGACUGUAGCAUUAUUUUGUGUAUUCAUUUAUUUGAAGAAGGGAAAUCUGCCUUCAUGAAGAAAAUGUACUGGUCACAAGGAGUUGGACUGUUUUGAUCUUGCACGGCAAGUUCUCACUACAAAUUCAUUAACUGAGUGGAUUCCUAAGUGGCUUGAGUACAGUGAAUUUUUCAUCCUAUGUACAAAAAAAAAAAAUGCAACAGAAGGCAAUACAGCCAAGUAUUGAGGAAUGAGGGAAUUUGGUGAUUGGCCACUAGUGACUGGCAAACUGGGACAGCAGGAUCUUGAGUUUCCAACAGUGAGUCUCAUAGUUCAGACAUCCAGAGCCACACUAAACCUUCAGAUCUGUAUGCUGACUGAGAAAGUACAGAUGUGAUUGGAGCAUCAUUAUCCUAACUGCCAGCAGAAUUCUGCUAGACCCAAAGUCCUCCACAGGUCUUCCCGACUAGGAAAAGAAAAAGGACAGAAGAGAGGAGUGAGAAGGAACAGUGGGCCAUCAGGAGAGAAGUGAAAAAGUAGUCAACUCUAAGGUUCAUGAAUAAUGAACUACUGUGCUACCCCCUGAAGAAGUAUAGGAUAAAGUAAAGAUAUUGGACAACCAUCAUCAUUCCAGGACUAUUAUCCUGAUAUUCAGAGAAGGAAAACAAAAGUGAUGAGUUAUGUUAUGUUUGUGGCUUUCUCUUUAGAGGCUUUCUAACCCAUGGUGCAGGGAGGGGAAUCCCAACUACAGAAUGGCAUUCUAUCUGAAGAGGCAGAGAUCAUGGGGCACCUGGGUAGCUCAGUUGGUUGAGCAUCUGAAUAGGUUCAGGUCAUGAUCUUGCAGUUCAGCUCCUGAGUUUGAACACCACAUGGGGCUCUGUGCUGACAGCUCAGAGCCUGCAGCCUGCUUUGGAUUCUGUGUCUUCCUCCCUCUCUGGCCCUCUCCUGCUUGCUCUCUCUCUC